UACGAAGGGGGCUAGCGUUGCUCGGAAUUACUGGGCGUAAAGCGCACGCAGGCGGCGCAGCAAGUUCGACGUGAAAGCUCCCGGCUCAACUGGGAGAGGUCGUUGAAGACUGCUGUGCUUGAGGCAAUGAGAGGGGUGUAGAAUUCCCGGUGUAGUGGUGGAAUGCGUAGAUAUCGGGGGGAAUACCAGUGGCGAAAGCGGCACCCUAGCAUUAGCCUGACGCUCAUGUGCGAAAGCGUGGGGAGCGAACGGG
rnacentral:rRNA from 1 species